rnacentral:tRNA from 1 species
AGGAGCGUAGUUAAAGAGGUUAGAACGGCAGAGAGCAAAGCGGCGAGCCCUUUAGUGGCAGCGUAAGACAAGACAGCUCGUUUCUGUAAGCGAUGGUUCGAGUCCAUCCGCUCCUU